AUUCAAGCAAACAGAUGGCACAUGAUGGAUGCCUUGGCGUUGAUAGGCGAUAACGGACGCGACAAGCUGCGAUAAGCCAUGGAUAGCGGCAAAUACGCUUUAACACAUGGAUCUCCUAUGGGGUAACCCGAGGGCUCAGCCCUCAUCCUGCCUUUUACAGGCAGUGAAGCGACACUCGGUGAAGUGAAACAUCUCAGUAACCGAAGGAAAAGAAAGCGAAAGCGAUCCUGUGUGUAGCGGCGAGCGAAAGCAGGACAGCCCAAACCGGCGUUAAACCCGGGGUUGUAGGACCAGGCAUAAGCGAUGUGAUCAGGUUGGUUCAAAAGGCUGGAAAGCCUUCCGAUACCGGGUGAAAGGCCCUUAAACCGACUCGGCCCACAUUGCGCCUGGCUCCUGAGUAACGCGACAUAAGUGAAACUUCGCGUGAAUCAGCGCGGACCACCGCGUAAGGCUAAAUACUCAUCAACGACCGAUAGUGAACAAGUACCGCGAGGGAAAGGUGAAAAGAACCGCUACAAGCGGAGUGAAAUAGAUCCUGAAAUCAUGUGUCUACAAGGUGUCAAAGCCCUUCGGGGCGAUGGCGUGCCUUUUGCUUAAUGAGUCUGCGAGUUAUCUUCAGUGGCCAGCCUAAUGUCAUUUGACAGGAGGCCCAGCGAAAGCGUGUCCGAAAUGGGCGUCAAUAAGUCGCUGGAGAUAGACCCGAAGCGGAGGUGAUCUACCCAUGGUCAGGAUGAAGCGCGGGUAAAACCGCGUGAAGGUCCGAACUGGUGGACGUUGAAAAGUCCUCAGAUGAACUGUGGGUAGGAGCGAAAGACUAAUCAAACCCCGUGAUAGCUGGUUCUCCCCGAAAUAGCUUGAGGGCUAGCCUCUUGUUCCUCCUUCCGGAGGUAGAGCACUGGAUGAACUAGAGCCCAUACCCGGGUAUCGAACUCAAUCAAACUCCGAAUGCCGGAAGAUUUAAACAAGGGAGUCAGUCGGCGAGGGAUAAGCUUCGUCGGCGAGAGGCAAACAUGCCAGACUAGCAGCUAAGGUGCCCAAAUGCCGCGUAGUGCAAAGGCUGUGGCGAUACACAGACAAUGAGGAUGUUGGCUUAGAGGCAGCCACCAUUUAAACAGUGCGUAAUAGCUGACUCAUUUAGUGUCUCCGCGCCGAUAAUGAUUGGCGAUCAGCGGUAUACCGAAGCUCUAGGAUAGUACGUCCGAGAGGAUGUGCGAUCGGUAGGGGAGCAUUGUUGUCUGUAUUGCCGUGGCGUAAGCCGCGGUUUAAGAACAACAAGUGAGAAUGCAGACAUGAGUAACGAUAGCCCUGUUGAAUCCAGGGCCGCCGAAUACCCCAAGGUCUCCUUGGCAAGGAUUGUCCGCCAAGGUCUAGUCGGAUCCUAAGUUGAACCCAUACGGCUACAACGAUGGAAACCAGGCUAAUAUUCCUGGACCGCCGAUAUUUAACCCAUCCUUGGUGCGCAGGUGCAAGCAGGCCGUCGAAUGCCUGUCCCGAGAGGGCGAGUUCCAGCUCUGCUGGAGCGAAGUUGUCAUGACGCGCACCGCAAGAAAAAGAUGGCGUAUAAUCAGGUGUCCGUACCAAACCGACACAGGUGGGGUCGCGCAAGAGCGCGAAGGCGUAAGAGUGAAACCUCGUUAAGGAACUCGGCAAUCUAACCCCGUAACUUUGGAAUAAGGGGUGCCCUCGCAAGAGGGUCUCAGUAACCGGGUCAACCGACUGUUUAACAAAAACACAGCACUCUGCCAAGUCGAAUACGACGUAUAGGGUGUGACACGUGACCAAUGCGGAAAGAUUACGGUAAGGGGUUAGCCGCAAGGCGAAGCUCUGAGCCCAAGUCCCCGUGAAUGUCGGCCGUAACUAUAACGGUCCUAAGGUAGCGAAAUUCCUUGUCGGGUAAGUUCCGACCUGCACGAAUCGUGUAACGAGUUGACCGCUGUCUCGACGAGGAGCUCAGUGAAAUUGUAGUGGCGGUGAAGAUGCCGCCUACCCGCAGCAGGACGGAAAGACCCUAUGCACCUUUACUGUACGCUGUAACUGUGGUCCUUAACCCUUUGCCUAGAGUAAGUGGGAGACUGUGAACCUGUCCCUCCGGGGGCAGGGGAGUCGCCAAUGAAACACCACCCUUAGGGUUGAGGGCCUCUAAUCUGGAUUUUUCUCCAGAGAACAUUGCAGUCGGUCAGUUUUACUGGGGCGGUAUCCUCCUAAAGAGUAACGGAGGAGUGCGAAGGUUGGCUCAGCCCGGUCAGCAAUCGGGUGACGAGUACAUGGAUAUAAGCCAGCCUAACUGCAAGACCUACAAGUCGCGCAGAUGCGAAAGCAGGCCCAAGUGAUCCGGUGACGGAAUGUGGAAUCGUCAUCGCUCAACGGACAAAAGGUACGCUAGGGAUAACAGGCUGAUCCUGCCCAAGAGCUCAUAUCGACGGCAGGGUUUGGCACCUCGAUGUCGGCUCAUCACAUCCUGGGGCUGGAGAAGGUCCCAAGGGUCCGGCUGUUCGCCGGUUAAAGUGGUACGCGAGCUGGGUUCAGAACGUCGCGAGACAGUUCGGUCCUUAUCCGCUGUGGGCCCAAAAGAAGUGAGAAGUUUAGAUUCUAGUACGAGAGGACCGAAUUUAACGGACCAAGGGUGUUAGAGUGGCCGUGUCAACGGCCCGGCUCUGUUGCUAUGUCCGGAACGGAUAAACGCUGAAAGCAUCUAAGCGUGAAGCCACUUUCAAGAUUGCUUCUUUAUUGUAGGCGUGGGAGACCACCACGUUGAUAGGCCAAAAGUGCAGAUGCAGCAAUGUAUCGAGCUAACUGGUACUAAUCCGACAAAUGCUUGAAUGA
rnacentral:rRNA from 15 species